UACGGAGGAUGCGAGCGUUAUCCGGAUUUAUUGGGUUUAAAGGGUGCGUAGGCGGAGUGUCAAGUCAGCGGUAAAAUUUCGGGGCUCAACCCUGUCGUGCCGUUGAAACUGACGCCCUUGAGUGAGUGAGAAGUAAGCGGAAUGCGUGGUGUAGCGGUGAAAUGCAUAGAUAUCACGCAGAACGCCGAUUGCGAAGGCAGCUUACCGGCGCUCAACUGACGCUGAGGCACGAAAGUGCGGGUAUCGAACAGG
rnacentral:rRNA from 1 species